rnacentral:rRNA from 1 species
UACGGAGGGUGCAAGCGUUAUCCGGAUUCACUGGGUUUAAAGGGUGCGUAGGCGGACAUGUAAGUCCGUGGUGAAAUCUCUGGGCUUAACCCAGAAACUGCCAUGGAUACUAUAUGUCUUGAAUGUUGUGGAGGUUAGCGGAAUAUGUCAUGUAGCGGUGAAAUGCAUAGAUAUGACAUAGAACACCAAUUGCGAAGGCAGCUGGCUACACAAAUAUUGACGCUGAGGCACGAAAGCGUGGGGAUCAAACAGG